GCAAAUAUCAACAUUCAAAUGAUGAAGCAACAUCACCCAUGACAUUUGCAUGCUUAAACCUGAAAUCAAAGCUCACAUGUAAGCAACAAACCACUAGGUCAAAGCCUAGGGUCAAAGGUGAAGAAAAAAUUCAAAACAGGAGCUGAAAUUCAACACAAUGCAACUUCAAACACAUAUUAACAUGUCCAAAAAAGGAUCACAACAAAAUCAUUAAGCAAA
rnacentral:lncRNA from 1 species